GCUGGGGGCGGUGGCACAUUUCUGUAAUCCCAGAAGCUAGGGAGGCUGAGGCAGGAGGAUCGCAAGUUCAAGGCUAGACUCACCAAUUUAUCGAGGCCUUAGCAACUUAGUGAGACCCUGUCUCAA
rnacentral:sRNA from 1 species